AUAAAAUAAAUUACAUCAAUGAUAAAAAAAAAUUAAUUACAUCAAUGCUACAAAAAUGUUUGUCAUAUAUAUUGUUUAUUGAGUAUCUAUAACUAUUUAAUGUGGUGUUUUGGCCUGACCUAUUUUGCUAUCAAUAACAUCCUUAAAAUAUAAUUUUUAUUAGUUUUAAAACGAAUUAAUAAAGAAAUUCAAAAUUAAAAAAAAAGCCAAUCAAAUAUUGUAAAUAACAAUCAACUUCAAAUUCAUC
rnacentral:lncRNA from 1 species